UACGUAGGUGGUAAGCGUUGUCCCGGAAUCAUUGGGCGUAAAGAGCGUGUAGGCGGCCCGGUAAGUCCGCUGUAAAAGUCAAAGGCUCAACCUUUGAAAGCCGAUGGAUACUGCUGGGCUAGAGUCCGGAAGAGGCGAGUGGAAUUCCUGGUGUAGCGGUGGAAUGCGCAGAUAUCAGGAGGAACACCGAUAGCGAAGGCAGCUCGCUGGGACGGUACUGACGCGUGAGG
rnacentral:rRNA from 1 species